UAGGGAAUAUUGGGCAAUGGGGGCAACCCUGAUCCAGCCAUGCCGCGUGAGUGAAGAAGGCCCUCGGGUUGUAAAGCUCUUUUGUCCGGAAAGAAAGGCUUCGGGUUAAUACCCCGGGGUUCUGACGGUACCGGAAGAAUAAGCACCGGCUAACUUCGUGCCAGCAGCCGCGGUAAUACGAAGGGUGCAAGCGUUACUCGGAAUUACUGGGCGUAAAGCGUGCGUAGGUGGUUGUUUAAGUCUGAUGUGAAAGCCCUGGGCUCAACCUGGGAAUGGCAUUGGAAACUGGGCAGCUAGAGUGCGGUAGAGGGUAGUGGAAUUCCCGGUGUAGCAGUGAAAUGCGUAGAGAUCGGGAGGAACAUCUGUGGCGAAGGCGACUGCCUGGACCAGCACUGACACUGAGGCACGAAAGCGUGGGGAGCAAACA
rnacentral:rRNA from 1 species